CCCUCCCAUAAACUCGUGUUCUCACAUAAAUAGUGCACACGCUUUUUGUAAAAAUCAUAGGCCAUUUGCAAGGUCAUUUGCAAGGUCAUACGAUGCAAACGUCGCAUUGUUUUGACGUUUUUUUAGUCGUAUUUCCGGUUGGGUUAGCUCACGCGAUUGUCUGAACAAAAAUAUAGACUAGCCAUACCUUUCGCCAAAAAUAACUUCGGUCCCUUCAAACAUAUCGUCUUUGUAAUAGUCUUGUUCGAAUCCCCAUCAACAACACUAUUUAGAUUGUUAUUUACAUGCCUGUAUCUUCAAAUUUGCAUUUUUUUCACGGCAUUUCCAUUUCUUGUCCAGCUGUGAGCUCGAGGCUCGAAGUAAUUUGAUAGUAUACGAUCGCAUUUGACUUUCAAACUCCCAUAACUCAGUAUAAUGUUAAUAAUGACUAUAACUAUCGUUCGGAAAUAGUUGAUCUUUUAUUUCUGAAUCGAAUGGAUUUCUGUCUUCAUAACAUGUACUGAACCGAAGAUUUGAAAUUUCUAGCCGUCAACCUCUCGAGUACGGCGACCUCGCAAAGAGUUUUAAUUUAAUUAAUAUUAAAGCUGAAUUCUUUCACCGUGAUGUCAUGCCAAAAGGUGUCUUUUCUAUUUUUAAAAAAGAUCCCG